UUCCUGAGUUUUAAUUCCUCAGUCUAUCUCUUCUAUUAAUCUCCUAGCCUGGGCAUGAUUACCCGGUGGGCACACUCAGCUACCUCCACCCCUGCUCAGUCCUAGGGCCUGGCAGCUGCUCACCCCGGGGCCCCUGGCACUCAAGGGCAGCAGGUGCAACCACUGCUCCAGUCUUACAUUGGUUCCUGUGUAGACUGGGGUGCGCAUUUGAAAGUAAAUGCCUUAUGCCUUUUGCUGUCAACUCUUAAAAAAGCCGUGUACCAGUGGACCCCUGCAGUUCAAACCCAUGUUGUUCAAGGGUCAGCUGUUCUUCAUUUAGUCCCAUUGCUCCUGCUUUUAUCAGGGUAAGAAACAUAGGUUGUAGUCAUAAUACAAGUGUUUGUUUCCUCUUCCCAACAUACAUUUCAGUAAUCUGGAGCAUAUCCGUGAGAUAACUCCUGUAAAAACACUGUAAAAUGUAAAUCAGAGCACUGUGUGGAAAUGCAAAUAUGAGCAGCUGGAGGGGACUGUCAGGUCAUGUAAGUGUCAUUAGUGAAUGACUGCUUUUGUUGCUUGGUGAGUAAAGGUGACCCGCAUAUUUGUAAAGGCCAUAAGCAAAUGUAAUUUGGAGGGAUGUUUAAUUCCAGCUUGUUCUCAGAGUUCUAUAUAACUUGUGUGUUAGGAAUUUCUUAGUAAUAAGUAUAGACUGUGACAAACUAAUGUUAUAUGCUUACUGCUGAGAUACCAUAAGAAUUAUAUUCCACCCCUGUGAUCUGCCAAACAGAAUUACCCUGAAUCUAAUCAUGAGGACGUUAUCAGAUAAAUUCAAACUGUCGGACAUUUUACAAACCAAUCACCCUGGACUCAGCAAAACUGUGUCAAGUAAUAUUUAAAAAGUGGAUGUAGACGUGUAGGUAGAGAAACUAUUCUAGAUUAAACAGACUAAUAAGUAAUCACAAUCAAAUGCA